UACGUAGGGUGCAAGCGUUGUCCGGAAUUAUUGGGCGUAAAGAGCUCGUAGGCGGUGUGUCACGUCGGCCGUGAAAAACCUGCAGCUUAACUGUGGGCGUGCGGUCGAUACGGGCAUCACUGGAGUUCGGCAGGGGGAGACUGGAAUUCCUGGUGUAGCGGUGAAAAUGCGCAGAUAUCAGGAGGAACACCGGUGGCGAAGGCGG
rnacentral:rRNA from 1 species